GUACUUUCAUUUAGAAAAGCGACCAGACUGGAUGAAUUAAUACCUGCACAAGCCACCGAGCUGAGCAAUGUAGACCAGAGUCAUGAGGUCCAGCCCAUACUCUAGGGUAAGGGAAUUAAGAGCCACCCCCUGGAAGGAGAAGUAUCAAAGAACGUGUGGACCUCUGUUAAAACUACAACAGCAAACAUUUGGUGGGAAAUCUUUUGCAAUGCAAAAUAGUAUGCAAAGUACAGGUUUCUCUGUGAAGUUCCGCCCAUUAAUUUCAGCACUCAUCUGAGGAUCUUGCCUGCAACCGUUACUGCUAUAGUAUUCUAAUGAGUUAUAAUCCAGUACUACCAUUAUUUGUUGCUCAAACUGUUCCAAGUUAUGGCCAUUGGAAGGAGCUCCUUCGGGUCGGCUCCUGAGUUCACUUGUAACUUUGAAUUUUGAAUCAUGUCCUAGAAGCAAUGACACUCCUACAAUCAAGAACACAUCUCGAGCCCAAAUCUUAGUUUGCAACACCAUCAUCCUCUAAAAGGAAGGUCGCCUUUUCAGUCUGGGGUAAAGACCUGCGUGGGAUGUGCUCAGAUUAAUGGAAGAUUAUCAAAAGACAGAGGAGUCAUCAUAGAUUCCCACUGGACAAAUUCAGGGAAUUUAAAUAUUAAAAAGAAAAAUGAUGAUGAUUGAUUGUAAAGGAGUGAAUAAACAAUCCAUGAGUCCGUGGCAAUAUUAAAAUACAUGGAUAAUAAAUCCACUUUGCUAGCACUGGUAAUAAUUUUGGGAAAAAAAUACCUUUACCUUAAUGAAAAUGAUCCAAUUUGGCAUCACUGUUUCUAUAGGGUGAAAACCUGCCAUUAUGUGCCUCCUAACAUGAUGCAAUAUGAAAAAAUAUAUAUCAACCACCUAUAAAAUAUUCUUAUUUCCCAAAAGCUGAACCUAAAUCCAACCAAGCACCUUUUACAGUAGAUA